CAAAUCCCUAGACCGGCCAUGUCUUAAGAUCCCAGGCAUUUUCAUUUCUACCAAACUGGGGAGUCAGGAGACCUGGGCUGCAAUCCUGCCCAUGAGGGCAUGGACUAAGUCUCUGCCCCUCCCAGCAGUCCAGUUUCCCCCUCUAGGAAACAAAGGGACUGCAUUCUAUGGCCUCUAGGGUCCCCCUCUGGAUCCAAUGUUGCCUUCAUGCCCACGUUAAAAAGUUGUUGGACAUGGACUGUCAGUCUACUGAGAAAUCUGGCCUAUCACUCGUGCCUCAAGGGGCCUGAUCCAGAGAUCAGGCAAGAAAGCAGGAAGCCUUGGUUACUUGAAAAGCUGGCCUAGAUGAGAGUGCUGGAGCUACCUGGGAAAUUCCAUUGACUGAUACCUGGAGGAAAGGAGGGGUUAAGGCUGGGACCCUGGAGGGAGGGGGGAGGAAAGGGGUUCUACCUUGACUUGUUCCUGCUGAGCUCAGUGGGAAGCUAAGGAGACCUUUUAAAAUGUAAAACUGAACCACAAUCCCCAGUGGGCAUGUCCUCCUUCUGGUAUCAGAUAGAGAUUGUGCUCUAUUUCUGAAAGGCUCACAUCAGGGAGAUAGAGGCUGAAAGGGUCCAGCUCAGCAAGGCUGGGGAAAUCCCCAAGGCCAAGUAGCAUGGGCACAAUGCCCCUUGGGUGGCGGGAGGGAGGUGGACAUCAGACACAAAGAUUUUCAGCACCAGGCUGCCGACCCCCUAAGAGGGGGCCUGGCUGUCAGUUUAGUAUUGCCUGGGCUCAGAUUCUGUGGCAAACCCGUCCCAGGGCCCUCUCUUCCUCUACCUUCCUAGUUUACCUAUCUCCCCUGUGUCAGUUUCUCCAUAUUAUGAAAGAGGUAGCAUCAUUGGGAAAAAUAGAUUUCUCUAGAGACAGAGAAAGGAAAAAUCUCUAAGAUCAUUUCUCCCCCAUAGACUUGAUUGAAAAAUCCAUACCCUCAUCUCUUUUCUCAUCUGUAGCUUUCUUUCUGUUUUGCCAGAGAGAUUAAAUGGAGGGUCAAGGAAAAGGCAGACUAGAGAGGACAAGGAUCAGGGAGCGAGCCUGGGAGGCCAACUAGCCAAAUCCUGGGACCCAUGGGUAAAAGAAAGGAGCACUACUUCAGAACCUCAGAGGAGGAGGAUAACUAGGGCACAGGAAGAGACAGAAUAGAGACCAGUGUAAGGCGCCUUUUGGAGAUAUAUUACAAACCCAGUACUUGGAGGGGCUGCCAAAAGAGCAGUGGGUCCCUUGUGUCUUUAGAUGCAAAUAAAAAAAUGCUGUAGACAUGGAGUUAGCCCAUUUGCGCAGGGGAAAGCUGAAGAUGAAGUGGGCUUUCAACAGAAUUCACUCAAGCAUACAUCAAACAUCUUAUCUGAAUGAAGAGUACCCCACUACAUGGAUGGCCUGAAAAUGGGAGCUGGUGCCUUCCCCUAAGGAAGCCCAGGAUCUUUUCAGAGAGAGAGUCCCCCUCCUUCUAGUUCUGAGGGGAGGGGUAGAGAAGGGGGGUUCCUAUGAGAAGAGGGAGCAGUGUAAGGAUGGUAGAACACUGAAGCCCACUCUCCAUUCUACUUGGACAUGGGUGAAGGGGAGGCUGAAGGGACUGGCUCGGUCAUCUCUCCCUCUUUUUGGAGACUUCAGUUGUGCUGCCUCUUUUGGUUGGGGUGGGCGCUGUUCCAGAGAAGCCCUUCCCACUACUCAACUGUACAACCUGAAGAAGUGAAAGGAUGAGGUCUAGGUAUGGCCAGAGACAAGGGGGUGGGGGCAAAGGACAGCUGCUCCUUGUCUCUGGUCCUGGCCUCCCCAUAGCUGGUAUCCUUUUCAAACCCCUGGUACCUCCAGGGCAUCCUUCCUUUUCCUUCAUCCUUGAAAUCUGUGGCUGACCAUGGUUUAUGCGAUACCUUGUAGCUAUACUAUUAUUUUAAAUAAUGGUUCACACGUGACUGCUACAAGUCCUGUGUACUAGCACUAGCUCCUGGUUUUUCUCCUCUCUCUACUUACCCCCUCCAACACUCCUUUGUAAACAGAAGAAAUCAGGUUACAAUGAACAUGGAAAGGGUGGCUGGGAAAUCCCUGUUCUGAUCUUUCCAGCUGCUAGGGCUAUGCCCCGGAAAACUCAGUGCAUUAAUUUUCUACAUUCAGUACAUAACUCUACAGAGCCAUAUUAUCUCCUCUGAAUAGAAUGGAAACUCCAUGAUAGGGGUUCCAGGGGCUUUUCACUUUCAUAGCCAUAGCACAGUGCCUGGCACAUAGUAGGGGUUUAAUAAAUGCUUGUUGAAAAAGAGGCCACUAAUUUAUACGGAUAUUGUUUUAGUUUUAAAAUGAAAUGUUAUCUCUUUUAUUAUAUUUUUCUUCAUUUUGUUAAAUAUUUCUCAAUUCCAGUUCUUUCAGUCUGAUUCUACCUGUCUGGGGGAAAGGUAACCUAUAUAUCUGCACUAGCACGUACUGUGUGUCUGUCUCUCUCUCCCUGUCUCUUCUCUCUCCCUCUUUGUCUCUCUUCUCUCCCUGACUUUUUCUAUCCCUCUGUCUCCUAUCUUUUCACUCUACCUAUCUCUCCUCUCUCCCUUUGUCUCUCCCCUUCCUUUUUCUGUCUCUCUCCUCUCUCCCUGUCUUUCUCCUUCCUUCCCUCUGUCUUUUUGUCUGUCUCUUCUCUCUCCCUCUUUCUUUGUGAGGCCCCUCCUUUCCUUCUCUGUCUUUAUCUUUCUUUUUUUACUUGCUUAGUUGGCUAUCUCUCCUGCAGGAACUUGCUUAAGCAGACGGCAGGCACCUUUCUUCUUCAGACAGCAGGUGACUGGCUUAGGGGGCAAGCUGGGGUCCUUCCAAGUAUGGGACUUUGGGCAGUCAUUCCACACUCUACGCCAGACAUAGCUCUACUUGGAAUUCCUCUUUAUUUAGCUUCAAAAUUUCUCUCUCCCCUACCCCUAAGAUGUGUAAAUGCCCACAUCUGACUGAGCUCUUAUUCUAAGGAAUGGGAUCUUCAGAGGCCCCACUUUAUUACACAAAUAUCCCAUUUUCGUUUAUUCCAGGGCCCCUUCCCACUGAAGCACACUAUCCUUUAUCUUAGCAUUACUCAUUUGGCCAGGAUCAGAGAGCUGAAUCCUGAGGAGACAGGACAAAGAUGGGCAAACUUUGACUGGAGAGAAGCAGGGAAGAACCCUGAAGCCAGGGACCUGGUCCCAAGAAGUUGGGGCACUCUUUUGCUGGGGACCAGUGAUGAAAGAGUAGGUGGCUGAGGAAGGGGGAGACACCUUCCCUUUCUUGGAAGCUCUCCUGCAGUGCCUAUGGCUGGGCUCUGCAUAGAGGGAGCACACAAUGCCUUUAUUAUUAUUUAUUAUAUAUUAUUAGAAUGGAAGUUCAUUAUCAGUAGUGAUCUCUUCACUCUUGAUGCUUAUGUUCUCAGUCCCUGGCAGAGUUUCAUCAGGCCCACUAGAUGUUGAAUAAAGAAUUGAUUGAUAGAUUUUAUGAUCAUAGGAGUCUAGAUCUAGAGAUGAAAAGGACCUCAGAGGCCAUCUAGUCCAAUCUCCUCCUUUAACAGAAGAGGAAACUGAGGCCCAAUGAUUUUAAGUCUUUGGGUUUAGAGCUCAAAGGAUCCUCAGAGACCAGUUAGUCUAAACUUUUCUUGUUUACAGAAAAGGAAAGUGAAGUCUAGGGAUCUUGAGUGAUUAAGUCUAGAGCCCAGAGAGAUCUGAGAGCAUUUAGUCUGAGCUUUUUUUUUUUUUUUUAACAGAGGAGAAAACUGAGGUCUAGGGAUCUUAAGUGGCUAGGUCCAGAGCUAAAAAGGAUCUGAGAGGCCAUUUAGUUCAACAUUUCUCUUUUUUACAGAAAAGAAAACUGAGGCCCAUGUAUUUUAGAUGGCUAGAGAGAUCUCAGAGACCAUUUAGUCUAAAUAUUUUUUUGCAGAAAAGUAAAGUGAGGUCUAGGGAUCUUGAGUGAUAAGAUCUAGAGCUAAAAAGAAUCUGAAAGGCCACUGAGUCCAAAAUUUCUUUUCUUUACAGAAAAGGAAACUGAGGCAUGUGGAUCUUAAAUAGCUAGAUCUAGAGCUCAAAGAGAUCUCAGAAGCCAUCUAAUCCAACCUGCUUUUUUUUUUUUUACAGAGGAGGAAACUGAGGCCCAAGGAUUUUAGAUGGCUAGCUAGGUCUAGAGCUCAAAGGGACCUCAGAGACCAUCUAGUCCAAUAUUCUUUUUCUGACAGAAAGAGAAACUGAGGCCCAUGGAUCUUAAGUGACUAGGUCUUGAGCCCAAAGAGAUCUGAGAGCAUUUAGUCUGAGCUUUUUUUUUUUUUUUUUACAGAGGAGAAAACUGAGGUCUAGGGAUUUUAAGUGGCUAGGUCUAGAGCUAAAAAGGAUCUGAGAGGCCAUUUAGUUCAACAUUUUUCUUUUUUACAAAAAAAGGAAACUGAGGCCCAUGUAUUUUAGAUGGCUAGAGAGAUCUCAGAGACCAUUUAGUCUAAACUAUUUUUUUUUACAAAGGAGGAAAUUGAGGUCUAGGGAUCUUAAGUGGCUAGGUCUAGAGAGAUAAAAAGAAUCUGAGAGGCCAUUUAGUCCAAAAUUUUUUUUCUUUACAAAAAAGGAAACUGAGGCUCAUGGAUCUUAAAUGGCUAGGCCUAGAGUUCAAAGAGAUCUCAGAAGCCAUCUAGUCCAACUUCCUUUUUUUUUACAGAGGAGGAAACUGAGGCCCAAGGAUUUUAGAUGGCUAGGUCUAGAGCUCAAAGGGACCUCAGAUCAUUUAGUCCAAAAUUCUUUUUUCACAAAAAGGAAAACUGAGGCUCAAGAUUUUAGGUGAUUAGAUCUAGAGCUCAAAAGGAUCUUAGAGACCAUAUAGUCAAACCUUUCUUUUCUUUACAGAAAAGGAAACUGAGGCACAUGGAUCUUAAAUAGCUAGGUCUAGAGCUCAAAGAGAUCUCAGAUGCCAUCUGCUCCAAGCUCUUUUUUUGUUUGACAGAAGAGGAAACUGGGAUCCACGGAUAUUAGAUGGUUAGGUUUAGAGCUAAAAGAGAUCUGAGAGACUAUUCCGUCUAAACUUUUUGUUUACAGAAAAGGAAACUGAAGUCUAGUGAUUUUAAAUGCUUAGACCUGCUCAAAGGGUUUCCGAGGCCAUCUAGUCCAACUUUCUUUUUAUUUUUUUUACAGAAAGGGAAACUGAGGCCCAAGAAUUUUAGGUAGAUCUAGAGUUCAAAGAGAGCUUAGAUACUAUUUAGUCCAACCUUUCUUUCUUUUUUCUUUUUCUUUUUCUUUUUUUACAGAAAAUAUCAAAGAAAUCUCAGAGAACAUUUAGUCUAAACUUUUUUUUUCUUUUACAAAGGAAGAAAUUGAGGUCUAGGGAUUUUAAGUACCUAGGUCUAGAGCUAAAAAUAAUUUGAGAGGUCAUUUAGUCCAAACUUUUUUUUUCAGAAAAGGAAACUGAGGCUCAUGCAUCUUAAAUAGCUAGAUCUAGAGCUCCAAGAGCUCUCAGAGGCCAUCUAGUCCAACCUCCUUUUUUUUAAACACAGGAGGAAACUGAAGUCCAAGGAUUUUAGAUGGCUAAGUCUAGAACUAAAGGGACCUCAGAGACCAUCUAGUCCAACCUUUUUUACAGAAAAGGAAACUCAGGCCCAUGGGUCUUAAGUGACUAGGCCUAAAGCUCAUAGAGAUCUCAGAAAGCAUUUAUUCUAGAGCUGAAAGAGAUGUCAGAGACCAUUUAGUCUAAGCCUUUUUUUUAACAGAGGAGGAAACUGAGAUCUAGGGAUCUUAAGUGGUUAGGUAUAGAGUUAAAAAGGAUCUGAGAGGCCAUUUAAUUCAACUUUUUUUUUACAGAAAAGGAAACUGAGGCCCAUGGAUCUUAAGUGACUAGGUCUAGAGUUCAGAGAUCUUAGGGGCCGUCCAGUACCAACCUCCUCUUUUUUUUUUUUUUUUAACAGAAGAGGAAACUGAUACCCAUGGAUUUUAGAUGGCUAGGUUUAGAGCUCAAAGAGAUCUCAGAGACCAUUUAGUCUAAACUUUUUUUUUUUUACAAAGGAGGAAACCGAGGUCUAGGGAUCUUAAGUGGCUACGUCUAGAGCUUAAAAGAAUUUGAAAGGCCAUUUCCAAACUUUGUUUUCUUUGCAGAAAAGGAAACUGAGGCUAAUUCAUCUUAAAUAGAUAGAUCUAGAGCUCAAAGAGCUCUCAGAGGCCAUCUAGUUCAACCUUCUUUUUUUUUUUUUUUUACAGAGGAGAAAACUGAGAUCUCAGGAUCUUGAGCGAUUAGGUCUAGAGCGCAAUGGGACCUCAGUGUUUAUCUAGUCCAACCUCCUUUUUUUUUUAACAGAAAAGGAAACUGAGGCCCAUGAAUCUUAAGUGGCUAGGUCUAGAGCUCAAAGAGAUCUCAGAGACCAUUUAGUCUAAACUUUUUCUUUUACAAAGGAGUAAACUGAGGCACAAGGAUUUUAGAUGGCUAGGUCUAGAGCUAAAAGGAACCUCAAAGACCAUCUAGUCCAACCUUCUUUUUUUCAUUUUUUUUUACAAAAAAGGAAACUGAGGCCGAUGGAUCUUAAGUGACUAGGUUAGAGUUCAAAGAUAUCUCAGAGACCAUUAGUCUAAACUUUUUUAUGGAGGAGGAAACUAAGGUCUAGGGAUGUUAAGUGGCUAAGUCUAGAGUUAAAAAGGAAUUUCAGAGGCUAUCUAGUUCAACCUUCUUUUUUUUUUUUACAGAGGAGGAAACUGAGGUCCAAGGAUUUUAGAUGGCUAGCUAAGUCUAGAGCUCAAAGGGACCUCAGAGAUCAUCUAGUCCAACAUUCUUUUUCUGACAAAAAGGGAAACUCAGGCCCAAGAUUUUAGGUGACUAGAUCUAGAGCUCAAAAGUAACUUAGAGACCAUUUAGUCCAACUUUUCUUUUCUUUAUAGAAAAGGAAACUGAGGCACAUGGCUCUUAAAUGGCUUAGAGUUCAAAGAGAUCUCAGAGGCCAUCUACUCCAAGCUCUUUUUUUUUGUUUUACAGAAGAGGAAACUGGGAUCCCAGGAUUUUAGAUGGCUAGGUUUAGAGCUCAAAGAGAUCUCAGAGACCAUUUUGUCUAAACUUUUUUUUUACAGAAAAGGAAACUGAGGCCCAAGGAUUUUAGGUGACUAGAUCUAGAGCUCAAAGGGACCUUAGAGACUAUUUAGUCCAACCUUUCUUUUUUUUUACAAAAUAAAAGAUCAAAGAAAUUUCAGAAAGUCUAAAAUGUUUUUUUAACAAAGCAGGAAACUGAGGUCUAGGGAUCUUAAGUGACUAGGUCUAGAGUUAAAAAGAAUUUGAGAGGCCAUUUAGUCCAAACUUUGUUUUCUUUGCAGAAAAGGAAACUGAGGCUUAAGCAUCUUAAAUAGCUAGAUCUAGAGCUCCAAGAGCUCUGAGGCCAUUUAGUCUAAACUUUUUUAUGAAGCAGAAAACUGAGGUCUAGGCGUGUUAAGUGGAGCUAAAGGGAUUUCAGAGGCUAUCUUUUCCAACCUUCUGGUUUUGUUUUUGUUUUUGUUUUUUUUACAAAGGAGGAAACUGAGGUCUCAGGAUCUUGAGUGAUUAGGUCUAGAGCUCAAAGGGUUCUCAGAGUUCAUCUAGUCCAACCUCCUUUUUUUACAGAAAAAUAAACUGAGGCCCAUAGAUCUUAAGUGGCUAGGUCUGGAGCUCAAAGUGAUCUCAGAGAUCAUUUAGCCUAAACUUAUUAUUAUUAUUAUUUUAUUUUAUAAUAACUUUUUAUUGACAGAACCCAUGCCAGGGUAAUUUUUUACAACAUUAUCCCUUGCACUCUCUUCUGUUCCGAUUUUUCCCUUCCCUCCCUCCACCCCCUCCCCUAGAUGGCAAGCAGUCCUAUAUAUGUUAAAUAUGUUUCAGUAUAUCCUAGAUACAAUAUAUAUAUAUGCAGAACCGAACAGUUCUCUUGUUGCACAGGGAGAAUUUAGCCUAAACUUUUUUUUAUGGAGGAGGAAACUGAGGUCUAGGGAUUUUACGUGGCUAGGUCUAGAGUUAAAAAGAAUCUGAGUGAUCAUUUAGUCCAAUAUUCCUUUGAUGAAUCUUAAGUGGCUAGUGUCAAAGAGACUUCAGAGACCAUUUUGUCUAAAUAUUUUUUUUUACAAAGGAGGAAACUGAGGUCUCCUGAUCCUGAGUGAUUAGGUCUAGAACUCAAAGAGACCUCAGAGACCAUUUAGUCUAAACUUUUUCUUUUACAGUGGAGGAACCUGAGGUUCAAGGAUUUUAGAUGGCUAGGUCUGGAGCUCAAAGAGACCUCAGAGGCCAUCUAGUCCAACUUUCUUUCUUUCUUUUGUUUUUUCUUACAGAAGAAGAAAUUGAGACCCAAGGAUUUUAAGUGCUUGGGUCUAGAGCUCAAAGGGAUCUCAAUGACCAUUAUUCUAAACUCUUUUAUACAGAAAAAGAAACUGAGGCUCAUAGAUCUUAAGUGAUUAGAUUUAGAGCUCAAAGGGACCUCAGAGGCCAUCUAGUCAAAACUCCUUUUCUUUUACAGAGGAGGAAAGUGAGGCCCAAGGAUUUUAGAUAGCUAAGUCUAGAGUUCAAAGCGAUCUCAGAGACCAUUUAGCAUAAACUUUUUUAUAGUGGAAGAAACUGAGGUCUAGGGAUGUUAUGUGGCUAUGUCUAGAGCUAAAAAGGGAUUUCAGAGGCCAUUUUGUCCAACUUCCUUUUUUUUUUUUUUUUUUUUUUUUAUAGAGGAGGAAACUAAGGCCCAAGGAUUUUAGAUGGCUAGGUCUAGAACUCAAAGGGAUCUCAGAGACCAUUUAUUCCAACCUCUUUUUUUUUUUUUUUUACAGAGGAGGAAACUGAGGCCCAAGGACUUUAGAUGGCUAAGUCUAGAGCUAAAAAGGGAUUUCAAAGGCCAUCUCAUCCAACCUCCUUUUUUUUUUUUUUUUUACAGAGGAGGAAACUGAGACCCAAGAAUUUUAGAUGGCUAGGUCUAGAGCUCAAAGGGAUCUCAGGGACCAUUUAGUCCAACCUCCUUUUUUUUUACAGAGGAGGAAACUGAGGCCCAAGGAUUUUAGAUGGCUAAGUCUAGAGCUCAAAGAGACCUCAGAGACCAUUUAAUUAAACCUUUUUUUUUUAAACAGAAAAGGAAACUGAGGCACAUGGCUCUUAAGUGACUAGGUUUAGAGCUCAAAGAGAUCUCAGAGACCAUUUGCCUUAAACUUUCUUUAUGGAGGAGGAAACUAAGAUCUAGGGAUGUUAAAUGGCUAGGUCUAAAGCUAAAAAAGGGAUUUCAGAAGCCAUCUAAUCUAAUCUUCUCUUUUUUUUUUUUAUAGAGAAGGAAACUGAGACCCAAGUAUUUUAGAUGGCUAGGUCUAGAACUUAAAGGGACUUCAGAGACUAGCUAUUCUAACCUUCUCUUUUUUUAACAGAAGAGGAAACUGAGGUCAAGGGAUCUUAAGAGGCUACAUUUAGAGUUCAAAGGAAUUUCAGAGAUCAUCUAGUCCAAACUUCUUUUUUUUUUUUUUUUUUUUUUUUACAGAGGAUAAAACUGAAAUCCAGGGAUCUAAAGUGAUCUUUUUUUUUUUUUUUUUUUUUUACAAAGGAGGAAACUGAGGUCUAGGGAUCUGAAGUGGCUAAUUCUAGAGCUAAAAAGUAUCCUUUUAGUCUAAUCUUUCUUUUCUUUACAGAAAAGGAAACUGAGGCCCAUGGAUGUUAAGUGGCUAGUCUAGAGCUCAAGGAGACCUCAGAGACCAUUUAGUCUAAAUUUUUUUUCUUUUACAAAGGCGGAAACUGAGGCCCAAGGAUUUCAGAUGGCUAGGUCUAGAGCUCAAAGAGAUCUCAGAGACCAUUUAGUACAACAUCUUAUUUUUUUAAGGAGGAAACUGAGGCCCAUGCAUCUUAAGUGACUAGGUCUAGAGCUCAAAGAUAUCUCAGGGACCAUUUGUCUAAACUUUUUUAUGGAGGAGGAAACUGAGGUCUAGGGAUGUUAAAUGGCUAGGUGUAGAGCUAAAGAGGAAUUUCAGAGGCCAUCUCAUUCAACCUCCUUUUUUUUUUUUUUUGCAGAGGACCAAACUGAGGCCCAAGAAUUUUAGAUGGCUAGGUCUAGAGCUCAAAGGGAUCUCAGAGACCAUUUAUUCCAACCUCCUUUUUUUACAGAGGAGGAAACUGAGGCCCAAGGAUUUCAGAUGGCUAGGUCUAGAGCUCAAAGAGAUCUCAGAGACCAUUUAGUACAACAUCUUAUUUUUUUAAGGAGGAAACUGAGGCCCAUGGAUCUUAAGUGACUAGGUCUAGAGCUCAAAGAGAUCUCAGACACCAUUUAACCUAAACUUUUUUAUGGAGGAGGAACCUGAGGACUAGGGAUGUUAAGUGGCUGGGUCUAGAGCUAAAAAAGGAUUUCAGAGGCUAUCUCGUCUGACCUCCUUUUUUACAGAGGAGAAAAGUGAGGCCCAAGGAUUUUAGAUGGAUGGAUCUAGAGUUCAGAGGGAUCUCAGAGACCAUUUAGUCUAAACUUUUUUUAUAUGGAAAAGGAAACUGAGGCUUAUUGAUCUUAAGUGGUUAGAUUUAGAGCUCAAAAGGACCUCAGAGGUCUAGUCCAAACUCCUUUUUUUUUUCCCAAACAAAAGAAAAAACUGAGACCCAAGGAUUUUAGAUGGUUAAGUAUAGAGCUCAAAAGGACCUCAGAGACCAUCUAGUCCAAACUUUUUUUUUUACAGAAGAGGAAACUGAGGCCCAAGGAUUUUAGAUGGCUAAGUCUAGAGCUCAAAGGAAAUUCAGAGGCCAUCUAAUCCAACUUUUUUUUACAGAAAAGGAAACUGAGGCCCAUGGAUCUUAAGUGACUAGGUCUAGAGCUCAAAGAUAUCAGACAUCAUUUAGUCUAAACUUUUUUAUGGAGGAAACUGGGAUCUACAGAUGUUCAGUGACUAGGUCUAGAGCUAAAAAAAGAUUUCAGAGACCAUCUAGUCCAAUCUCUCUCUUUUUUUUUACAGAGAAGGAAACUGAGGCCCAAGGGUUUUAGAUGGCUAGGUCUAGAGCUCACAGGGAUCUGAGACCAUUUAGUCUAACCUUUUUUUUUUUUUUACAAAGGAGGAAACUGAGGUCCAAUUAUUUUAGAUGGCUAGAUCUAGAAUUCAAAGGGACCUCAGAGAUCAGCUAGUCUAACCUCCUUUAAAAAAAAAAAAACAGAAGAGGCAACUGAGAUUGAGAGAUCUUUAGAGGCUAUGUCUAGAGCUCAAAGUAAUUUCAGAGGCCAUCUAGUCCAACCUUCCUUUUUUUCACAGAAAAGGAAACUGAGGCUCAAGGAUUUUAGGUGACUAAAUCUAAAGCUCAAAGGGAACUUAGAUAACAUUUAGUCCAACUUUUUUUUUAAGAGGAAGAAAUUGGGACCUGUGGAUCUUAUGUGAUUAGGUCUAGAGCUCAAAAGAACCUCAGAGGCCAUCUAAUCCAACCUUUUUUUUUUUUUUUUUUUUUUUUAACAGAGGAGGAACCUGAGGCCCAAAGACUUUAGAUGUCUAGGUCUGGAGCUCAAAGGUAUCUCAGAGACUAUUUGGUCUAAACUUUUUUAACAGAGGAGAAAUUUGAGGUCUAGGGAUCUUAAUGGGCUAAUUCUAGAGCUAAAAACUAUCUAAGAGGCCUUUUAGUCCAAGCUUUCUUUUCUUUACAGAAAAGGAAACUGAGGCCCAUGGAUCUUAAGCGGCUAGUCUAGAGUUCAAAGAGACCUCAGAGACCAUUUAGUCUAACCUUCUUUUUUUACAGAGGAGGAAACUGAGAUCCAAGUAUUUUAGAUGACUAGAUCUAGAAUUCAAAGGGACCUCAGAGACCAGCUAGUCUAAACUCCUUUUUUUUUUUAAACAGAAGAGGCAACUGAGGUCAAAGGAUCUUUAGAGAUUAUAUCUAGAGCUCAAAGUGAUUUCAGAGGCCAUCUAGUCCAACCUUCCCUUUUUUUUAUAGAAAAGGAAACUGAGGCCCAAGGAUUUUAGGUGAUUAGAUCUAGAGCUCAAAGAGAUCUCAGAGACUAUUUGGUCUAAAUUUUUUUAACAGAGGAGAAAACUGAGGUCUAGGGAUCUUGUGGCUAUUUCUAGAGCUAAAAAGAAUCUGAGAGGCCAUUUAGUCCAAACUUUCUUUCCUUUACAGAAAAGGAACCUGAGGCUCAUGGAACUUAAGUGGUUAAAUCUAGAGCUCAAAGGGACCUCAGAGGCCACGUAUUCCACACCCCAUUUUUUACAGAAGAGGAAACUGAAGCCCAAGGAUUUUAAAUGGUUAGGUCUAGAGCUCAAAGGGAUCUUAGAGACCAGCUAGUCCAACCUCCUUUUUUUUUUUAAACAAAAAAGGAAACUGAGAUUGAGGGAUCUUAAGAGGCUAUGUCUAGAAGUCAAAGGGAUUUCAGAAGCCAUCUAGUUCAAACUUUUUUUUUUACAGAAAAGGAAACUGAGGCCCAAGGAUUUUAGGUGACUAAAUCUUGAGCUCAAAGGGACCUUAGAGACCAUUUGGUCCAAUUUUUUUUUUACAGAGGAAAAAACUGAGGCCCAUGAAUCUUAAGUGACUAGGUCUAGAGCUCAAAGAGAUCUCAAAGACUAUUUAGUCUAAACUUUUUUUUAUUGAGGAGGAAACUGAGAUCUAGGGAUUUUAAGUGGCUAGGUCUAGACCUAAAAAGGGAUUUCAGAGGCCAUCUAGUCCAACCUCCUUUUUUUAACAGAGCAGGAAACUGAGGCACAAGGAUUUUAGAUAGCUAGGUCUAGAGCUCAAAGAGAUCUCAGAGAACCAUUUAGUCUAAACUUUUUUAUGGAGGAGGAAACUGAGGUCUAGGGAUAUUUAGUGGCUAGGUCUAGAGCUAUAAAGGGAUUUCAGAGACCAUCUAAUCCAACCUCCUUUUUUUUUAAUAGAGGAGGAAACUGAGGCCCAAGGACUUUAGAUGGCUAGGUCUAGAGCUCAAAGGUAUUUCAGGGACCAUUUAGUCUAACCUCCUUUUUUUUUUUUACAGAGGAGGAAACUGAGGCCCAAGGAUUUUAGAUGGCUAAGUCUAGAGCUCAAAGAGACCAUAGAGACCAUUUAAUUGAACAGAAAAGGAAACUGAGGUACAUGACUCUUAAGAGACUAGAUUUAGAGCUCAAAGAGAUCUCAGAGACCAUUUGCCUUAAACUUUCUUUAUGGAGGAGGAAACUAAGGUCUAGGGAUAUUAAAUGGCUAGGUCUAGAGCUAAAAAAGGAAUUUCAGAGGCCAUCUAAUCCAAUCUUCUUUUUUUUUUAUAGAGAAGGAAAUUGAGGCCCAAGUAUUUUAGAUGGCUAGGUCUAGAACUUAAAGGGACUUCAGAGACUAGCUAUUCUAACCUUCUCUUUUUCAGAGAAGAGGAAACUGAGGUCAAGGGAUCUUAAGAAACUACAUUUAGAGUUCAAAGGAAUUUCAGAGGCUGUCUAGUCCAAACUUCUUCUUCUUCUUCUUUUUUUUUUUACGGAGGAUAAAACUGAAGUUCAGGGAUUUUAAGUGACCUUUUUUUUUUUUUUUUUUUUACAGAGGAAGAAACUGAGGUCUAGGGAUCUGAAGUGGCUAAUUCUAGAGUUAAAAAGUAUCCUUUUAGUCCAAUCUUUCUUUUCUUUACAGAAAAGGAAACUGAGGCCCAUGGAUGUUAAGUGGCUAGUCUAGAGCUCAAGGAGACCUCAGAGACCAUUUAGUCAACUUUUUUUCUUUUACAAAGGCAGAAAUUGAGGCCCAAGGAUUUCAGAUGGCUAGGUCUAGAGCUCAGAGAUCUCAGAGGCCAUUUAGUCCAAACUCCUUUUUUUUUCAAAAGAGGAAACUGAGAGCCAAGGAUUUUAAUUGCUUGGGCCUAGAGCUCAAAGAAACCUCAGAGAUCAUUUAUUCUAAAAUUUUUGGUUUUUUUUUAUACCAAGGAGGAAACUGAGGUCUAGGGCUCUUAAGUGGCUAGGUCUAGAGCUAAAAAGAAUCUGAGAGGCCACUUAGUCCAAACUUUCUUUUCUUUACAGAAAAGGAAACUGAGACUCAUGGAUUUACAGUGGCUAUGUCUACAGCUCAAAGAGAUCUCAGAGACCAUCUAGUCCAACUUCCUUUUGUUUUUUGUUUUUUUUUCACAGAGAAGUAAACUGAGGCCCAAGGAUUUUGGAUGGCUAGGUCUAGAGCUCAAAGAGAUCUCGGAGGCAUCUAGUUUAACUUUUUUUUUUUUAAUAGAGGAUAAAACUGAAAUCCAGGGAUCUUAAGUGAUCUAAAGCUAAAAAAAUUCUCAGAGGCCAUCUACUCCAACCUUUUUUUUUUUUUAACGGAAGAGAAAACUGAGGCCCAUGGAUUUUAGGUGGCUUGCCUAAAGACACACUUAGAAUUCUAGAUCUAUAUCUGGAAGGGAUCUCAGAGGCCAUAUUUUCCAACAUUCUGCCUUUAAAGAAGAGGCCUUCUAGUCCCACCCCAUCCUUUCAGUUUAGGAUAGAGAGAUUCAGAAUUUUUUUUUAUUCGUGUAUCCUUUCUGUCCUUCCUAAGUGGAAUUCUCUCUCUUUCCUACCAAUCAAGAUUAUCUUCUUUUUUUGUUCUUCUUCCCUCUUGCUCCCACCCAUCUCAGUUUUUUUUCAUUUGCCCAUUACCUUUAUUCUCAUUUUCUGUCUUCAUCUUACUUCCUUGAUUCCUUUUGCUUACCACUCUCACCAUUUGCCUUCAAAGACUCUUUUCAGUGCCUUUUGGUGAAGUCUAUUACUUCUUUUUGUGUUCUUAAGUCUUCUCCUCCCUUUGUCCUAAACCAUCCACCUGUGACUUAUGGUAUGAGUAAAAGUCUACGGGAUUGAGAAGCAAAGGAUUGGGCAAAAAUCUGGACUCUGUAACUCAUUACUUACCUGUGUGACCUAAAUCAAGUUACUUUAUCUCUGCUUGCCUUUUUCCUCAAUGGCAAGCUGUGGUUCAUAAUCACCUACCUCUCAAGCUGGUGGUGAAUAUAUAUAAAAGACUUUGCAAACCAUUAAGUGUUAUAGGCAGGCGGAAAUUAUUACUUGAAACAAUAUCUCUGAGCAGGUGCACAGAUAUUAGAAGUGACUGUGGAAUUGUGUCACUCUCCAUGUCUUGCUUUUAUUGUUCUUACCUUUGCUAUGCGUUGUCCAGGAGGCCUUCAAUUCCAGCUGAGGUGAUCCCUACUGGUAUCUGUUUACCUGUCCUGUUCUUCCCCUCCCAUCCUCCCUGCCCCCACCGUUAUACCGAGUGAAAUAUACUUAGGGACUAGUUUUUGUUUUGUGACUAGGAUAAGUCUUUGCACAUAGUUGGUGUUUCAUAAGUGUUUGAUAUGCUUUGCAUACCGCCCCCCCCCCCCCCCCCCC